ensembl:lncRNA
AGCAGAAAUAAUGCAGGCCAUUGUCUGUGAAGUGCAUGGAAAGCUGCUCUCCUUUACAGCAGACUUUAGGUCUGAGCGCAAAGCCAUUCAUGCUGUGAAGGUUGAAUCCUGGCAGAAGCAGUACUGCUCACUGCAAAUGAAGAGGAAUACAGCAUCCUCAGGACAUUAAAGCAAAUAUACAAGGAGUGGACAGGAACAAGCACUUAAAAAUGCACGCUGCUAAGACUGUGAUAACAGGAUCUGGGGAGAAAGGCUUCAUAACUAUCAGUUUUUGGCAUGUAGUUCUGUACUGUCUGGUAAUGAAGAUGAAUCAUAUCUUUUGAAACCCUUUCUUUAAAAUUAGCUUAAAUGAAGGUGCAGGAGUGAGUGUUCUUGACCCUGGGCACUUCUACAGAACGUACAGUGAAGGUGAUUGCUGAAUUAUGUGGCUGAUGUUUGUGAGAUGGGAAAAAGUCCCUGCAGACACAUGAAAGGUAUCCUGGAACUAAGGCGGGCAGUGAUGUGCCCGUGACAGCUGACCUCAUCCUGGCUGGGUGGAUUUGUGCCCUUACAGAGCAGAAGUGAAGAGGAAAAAGCUGCAGCAGCCCCCUGUAUGC